GCCCUGGUAGCACAGUGGUAGUGGUACGUUUAUCGCCUAAGUUUCACUUAGAUGGCGCGACUAACAGAAUUCCAGCGUGUCACUCGUAUCGUUGAGGAAAUGACAAGGUCGUCUGUUCGAUCCAGGCCCCGGGCA